GGGCACAAUCGUGGGAGAAGAGACACCACAAAAAAAAAAAAGGGGGUGGGGCGGCGGCGUGAGGGGAGGCCGGUCGUCGGGGGAGGCGACUCGCCGGAGGGGAUCGAGCGCCGGAGAGGAUCGAGCACCGGAGAGGGAGAUCCGGCCGGCCGCGGAGGGGGGGGGGGGGAAAGCCUUCCUCUUUCCUUCGGUGAAGACCCUCCAUUUCUCCGCCGAUUCCUCGCCGGAAAGGCCGCCGGAGCACCCAUCGGACCGAGGGCAACAAACUGUUGGACAAAGAGACAUUGAGUAAGGUUCUACGCACCCUAGCUAAUUCGUAGAUCACGGUGGUCUGUCUGGGUUGUCAGCAAAAAAGUUACAUGAUGCAUUGAUUUGGACGGGAUGGGCGCAGAGUGCGAGUACCCGAGUCAUUAGUUAGUUGGUUUGUUUAUCUUUCUUUGAUGUUGAUGAACAUUUGAAGAUCUUGUAAUUGAACUAAUUUGUUUAUCUGGUGUGGACAUGUUGGAUUUGUCUAUUUAAAUUACUAAAUUAAUUGUGGAUUUA